rnacentral:rRNA from 1 species
CCGGCGCACGGGUGAGUAACGCGUAUGCAACCUGCCUGAUACCGGGGUAUAGCCCAUGGAAACGUGGAUUAACACCCCAUAGUACUUCUAUCCUGCAUGGGAUGUGAGUUAAAUGUUCAAGGUAUCGGAUGGGCAUGCGUCCUAUUAGUUAGUUGGCGGGGUAACAGCCCACCAAGACGAUGAUAGGUAGGGGUUCUGAGAGGAAGGUCCCCCACAUUGGAACUGAGACACGGUCCAA